UAGUGCUCAGGGGAUAUAAAAAUAAUGCAUUGUAUGCCGGAAGGGAUAAAUCUGGGGCUGAGUACAAGCAAAACAAGACCAAAGGAAGCUACCUGAGCAGGUAUUCCAGAUACUCAUGUCAUACACCAAGGUUGUACCAGUGCCCCUUUCUCUGUGACACAUCCAUCCACUGGAAACUUUCGUACAACUAGCUGAAAGAAGAGAAACAUCCUAUUUCAUGUCACUGGAGCCCUAAUGAUCGCAGCCAUUUCAGGAAAUGCCAUCAAUUACAGUGAGGAGCUCAUUCAGAAGUGAAAGAUGAGUUCCAUUCUCUGUUACUUAGAGGGUGGAUAUCCUCCUCCACUGAAUGCAAACUAUUAAGUAAUGAAAAGACAGCACUCCAAGCAAUAUAGAUUUAUAGGCCAACCUGGCAAUCAAGGGUAACUGACAUGAAAAUGGAUUGCUUCACAUUUUAAUUACAAAGAUACUCUUCAGUACCAUAAAUUGAAGAAAACACUAACUUUUUGUGGCUACUGUAAUUGUCAAAGUAUAAUUACCUGUGUUUUCUCACCUACGUAUUUGAGAUAGAGACAAAACCAAAUUGAAGCUUUGUGGCAACUCUGUGAACAGCAAGUCUGUCAGUGCCAUUUUUCCAAUAGCAUGUGCCUACUAUGUGUCUGUGUAUGUCAUUUUGUUAAUUUCUGCAACAUUUCAAACUUUUGUAUUAUUAUUAUAUUUGUUAUGGUGAUUUGCGA
rnacentral:lncRNA from 1 species